CGCGUAGGUGGUUCGUUAAGUUGGAUGUGAAAGCCCCGGGCUCAACCUGGGAACUGCAUCCAAAACUGGCGAGCUAGAGUACGGUAGAGGGUGGUGGAAUUUCCUGUGUAGCGGUGAAAUGCGUAGAUAUAGGAAGGAACACCAGUGGCGAAGGCGACCAUCUGGACUGAUACUGACACUGAGGUGCGAAAGCGUGGGGAGCAAACA
rnacentral:rRNA from 1 species